rnacentral:rRNA from 1 species
CGCGACCUCUGCUAUUAGUCUUAAUGACUCUCGGCAACGGAUAUCUCGGCUCUUGCAUCGAUGAAGAACGUAGCGAAAUGCGAUACUUGGUGUGAAUUGCAGAAUCCCGCGAACCAUCAAUUCUUUGAACGCAAGUUGCGCCCGAAGCCAUCCGGCCGAGGGCACGCCUGCCUGGGUGU